CAGUCGCCGCGGUAAUACGUAGGGUGCAAGCGUUAAUCGGAAUUACUGGGCGUAAAGCGUGCGCAGGCGGUGUUGUAAGACUGAUGUGAAAUCCCCGGGCUCAACCUGGGAGCUGCAUUGGUGACUGCAACGCUGGAGUGCGGCAGAGGGGGAUGGAAUUCCGCGUGUAGCAGUGAAAUGCGUAGAUAUGCGGAGGAACACCGAUGGCGAAGGCAAUCCCCUGGGCCUGCACUGACGCUCAUGCACGAAAGCGUGGGGAGCAAACAGGAUUAGAUACCCCCGUAGUCCCUGUCUCUUAUAA
rnacentral:rRNA from 1 species